rnacentral:lncRNA from 12 species
CUGCCCCACGCAGUAGGGCUAAUCCUCGGUGAGCAUUCUAGUUUGGAAAGAGAGACAUUAGAGAGACUCACUCAUUCUCUAGAUUUCACAGAUAAGGAAAAAGAGUGUCAGAGCAUUCAUUACGUAAACUGCUUAAGGACAAUGUAAGUCUACGGUUCUGUUUCUGGGUUCGGGGAAAAAAAAAAAACUUCUGAUAAUCUAAUAGGCAGGAUAAUAAAUAUGCUGCCGUGUAUGUGUAAGCGUUUUAAAAGCAUUCAAACACACUCACAUGUAAUCUGCUUAAUAUUCUUAUCACUGCAAACUCUCAAAGAGGCUUGGUAGGCAUCAUUAUCUCAAUUGGCCGCAAUAAAGAUAGAGGAGACGUUCUGGGACAAUUAGCAGAAAUUCAGGCAAAAUAGAAGGGUGAGAAAGAGGUGGAGAGAAGUCUAUUCAAACGUGCUCUGGAAAGCGCGUACUUGCUCCUCACUAACGUGCCAGACGCCAGGGCUCUAAGGAUGAAAGACAUAGUUCACAUUCCUCAGGAGCUGGUGGUCCAACUGGGCAGUGGGGCGGGAAAGGCAAGACUCACAGCACAGCGACACAGGCUGCUUCGGGCACAGGGGCACGGGAAUGUGUGUCGCGGAAAACACACCAAGUCAGAGCAAGAUGAUCUCCUGCCGGGCCCCGAAGGAUUUACAUUUCUGAAAACAAAAGGUCAAAGUACAUGGGAAAAGCAUCUGAAGCCCUAGAAACCUCUAAGCAGCAGAACCAGCCUCCACGAUUUUUGCAGCCUGCCUUCGCAGCUUAAUUCCUCUUACCCAAGCUCUGGGCUACAAACUGGGCACGCGAGGUGUCCUGCAAACACCCGUGGAGCAUUCUCCACCCCGCCCGCUGCACCUCCUCUUGAUAGCGUCCCCAGGCCGAGGACCACGCAGAUGCCUCCUCCAGUGAGCCUCCUCUAGCUACAAGUGGUAUCUUCCCCGCUAACAUUUUGUUCAUCUCUUAUGACCCUUGAGAUUUUCUUUUUAUGCUACUAUGUGCUACAGUAAAGCAUUUCCACUAGGCCACAAAACCCUGAAGGCAAGGAUUGUACCCAAUAUCUCUGAGUACCCAAAACAUAAAGAAGGUGCUCGAGACAAUUACUUACUAAAUAGAAGUUAUGGAGGGCACCUGGGUGGCUCAGUCAGUUAGGCAACGGCUCUUGAUUUCAGCUCAGGUCACCAUCUCCGUGUUCUAAGACCAAGCCUGGAGCUGGGCUCUGUGCUGGGCACGCAGCCUACUUAGUAUUCUCUUUCUCCCUUUCCCUCUGCCCACCCCCUCCCUGCAUGCACGCAAAUGUGCACACACUGUCUCUCUGUAAAAAAAUAAAGAAAGAAUGAGAAAAAAAUUAAAAGCCA